rnacentral:rRNA from 1 species
AGUGAACGCUGGCGGCAGGCCUAAUACAUGCAAGUCGAACGGCAGCACAGUGGAGCUUGCUCCAUGGGUGGCGAGUGGCGGACGGGGUGAGGAAUACAUGGGAAUCUGCCCAGUCGUGGGGGAUAACGUAUGGAAACGUACGCUAAUACCGCAUGCGCCCUUCGGGGGAAAGUCGGGGACCGCAAGGCCUGACGCGAUUGGAUGAGCCCAUGUUCGAUUAGCUAGUUGGCGGGUAACGCCCACCAAGGCGACGAUCGAUAGCUGGUCUGAGAGGAUGAUCAGCCACACUGGAACUGAGACACGGUCCAGACUCCUACGGAGGCAGCAGUAGGGAAUAAUUGGAACAAUGGGGGCAACCCUGAUCC